rnacentral:rRNA from 1 species
CGAUUCUGGCUCAGGAUGAACGCUAGCUACAGGCUUAACACAUGCAAGUCGAGGGGCAUCAUGGAGUUGCUUGCAAACUCUGAUGGCGACCGGCGCACGGGUGAGUAACGCGUAUCCAACCUUCCCUAUAGUAGAGGAUAGCCCGGCGAAAGUCGGAUUAAUACUCUAUGUUUUCCGUUGCAGACAUCUAAGAUGGAACAAAGGCUUGCCGCUAUAGGAUGGGGGAUGCGUCUGAUUAGGUAGUCGGCGGGGUAACGGCCCACCGAGCCAUCGAUCAGUAGGGGUUCUGAGAGGAAGGUCCCCCACAUUGGAACUGAGACACGGUCCAAACUCCUACGGGAGGCAGCAGUGAGGAAUAUUGGUCAAUGGGCGAGAGCCUGAACCAGCCAAGUAGCGUGCAGGAUGACGGCCCUAUGGGUUGUAAACUGCUUUUAUGCGGGGAUAAAGUUCGCUACGUGUAGUGUUUUGUAGGUACCGCAUGAAUAAGGACCGGCUAAUUCCGUGCCAGCCGCGGC